rnacentral:rRNA from 1 species
AUGGGCUGGUGAUUCCUACGGGAGGCAGCAGUGGGGAAUUUUGGACAAUGGGCGCAAGCCUGAUCCAGCCAUGCCGCGUGUGUGAAGAAGGCCUUCGGGUUGUAAAGCACUUUUGUCGGGAAAGAAAUCCUUGGGGUUAAUACCGUCGGGGGAUGACGGU